AUGAGGCCAUUGACAACCGCC
rnacentral:misc_RNA from 1 species